rnacentral:lncRNA from 1 species
UUUCCUUUUUUUAUAAAUAAAAUCUUUUAGAAUACUCUGAAAAAUGUGUCUUGGUAUUUACAAACGAAAAAAGGUAAACUGUUUAGGACACACAAAAGAUGAACGUAGGUCUCCCUUGAAGUUAGUUCACUUCAGAGCUUGAUGUCGGAAUUGCAUCUCAAGUACAAUUAUGCCGACGUUGUCUAAACGGAAAUAUUUUUUUUUUGUUGCAAAAGGAACUUAAUUUGGGUGGGGGUUCAUCCACUGGUUAAUGGUGGACUGUCUUCUUGUGCAUGUUUUUCUAGAUUCAACUGAUUCGAUUUGGAUCCUAGUUCCGAUUAUUAGAAAUCGGUUAAACCGGUAAAGAAAAUGAUGCAUGCAUGUUUAUAGUACUUACUUUUGAAUAUGAGUGUCGAUCUUAAAUCACUUCAAAAUUUUUUUUUGAAACUUCAACUUUAAGUGUUAAGAGAUAAUAUGCGAGGCAUUUCAAGGAAUCACUUCAAAUUUUGAUCCAAGCAAGAACUUUAUAUAUAUUUUUAUAUACACCAUGAGUUCAACAUUCAAGAAUAAAUAGUGAAAAUUCCUAAUUAGAAAACGGAUAUAAGUCUAAAAUAUAUCAAAUACUCGUAAGCAUAACCCGUAGGUCGUUCAGUAGGAGAACCUUUCAUUGGAAUUUUCACAUAGUCAACGAGAGAUUUAGGUUCCACCAAAAACAAUAAUAAAUAAAUGCUAUGAUAUUGAAACAAAAGGUA